rnacentral:rRNA from 1 species
CCUACGGGAGGCAGCAGUGGGGGAUAAUGCACAAUGGGGGGAACCCUGAUGCAGCGACGCCGCGUGGGUGAAGAAGCGCCUCGGCGCGUAAAGCCCUGUCAGCAGGGAAGAAAAUGACGGUACCUGAAGAAGAAGCCCCGGCUAACUACGUGCCAGCAGCCGCGGUAAUACGUAGGGGGCAAGCGUUAUCCGGAUUUACUGGGUGUAAAGGGGGCGCAGACGGCGAUGCAAGCCAGGAGUGAAAGCCCGGGGGCCAACCCCGGGACUGCGCUUGGAACUGCGUGGCUGGAGUGCAGGAGGGGCAGGCGGAAUUCCUGGUGUAGCGGUGAAAUGCGUAGAUAUCAGGAGGAACACCGGUGGCGAAGGCGGCCUGCUGGACUGCAACUGACGUUGAGGCCCGAAAGCGUGGGGAGCAAACAGGAUUAGAUACCCCAGUAGUC